AGUAAAAUAACAUAAUAUGAUUUCAGUGGUGAUUGUAGAUUUAAAU
rnacentral:guide_RNA from 1 species